GAUUUGAAGGCGAUCUGGCUGUGACAUCUGUCACCCCAUUGAUCACCAACUUUGAUUUGGAUUGAUGUGGCUGGCUAGGAGGGCAUCCCUUUCCUCCCUACCAUGUCCCAUGCAUCCCUCCUGAAGCUGCAUGUUUGGUCAAAGAGGAUGACAUUCCCUGAUAGAGGAAGACCAUUAUUCUUGUCAAGAGUAGCUGUGCUCCAUAUACACCAUGGAAUAUUAUGCAGCCAUAAAAAAGGAUGAGUUUGCGUCCUUU
rnacentral:sRNA from 1 species